GGGGAAGUGGCUCAGUUGGUAAGAGCACUUGCUGCUCUUUCAGAGGACCUGGGUUCAGUUCCCAGCACCCACA
rnacentral:tRNA from 1 species